rnacentral:rRNA from 1 species
CAGCCGCCGCGGUAAUACCGGCGGCCCGAGUGGCGGUCACUAUUAUUGGGCUUAAAGCGUCCGUAGCCGGGGUGGGAAGUCCUCCGGGAAAUCUGGCCGCUUAACGGUCAGAAUGCCGGAGGAUACUCCCAGCCUAGGGAGCGGGAGAGGCCGAGGGUAUUCCCGGAGGAGGGGUGAAAUCCUAUAAUCCCGGGAGGACCACCUGUGGCGAAGGCGCUCGGCUGGAACGCGUCCGACGGUGAGGGACGAAGGCCAGGGGAGCAAACCGGAUUAGAUACCCGGGUAGUCCUGGCUGUAAACGAUGCGGACUUUGUGUCGGACAAGCUAUGAGCUUGUCCGGUGCCGGAGGGAAACCGUUAAGUCCGCCGCCUGGGGAGUACGGCCGCAAGGCUGAAACUUAAAGGAAUUGGCGGG